AUCUGUCUACCGAAAAUGGUACGCCCAUACCCCCUAAUCCUAGCCGCAACUUCCCCUUCCCUCUCAGUCAGCCUCUUUCCUCCCCCAGAUUCCCCACCCGUUUUCACGCAGCAGCAUGCGGCAGCGCACAUCUCGCCCAACGACUGCGCGGCGGCAGCUCCCCACCACCAUCGCCAGUGCUGGCCGCAAGUCCACGGCUCUUGUGGAGGCCUGUCCUGCUGGCCGCUACGUCCGGCAGGCUGCCGAGCUAGCCGUAAGCUCUGGACAUUCCGCACUGCUCAACCUGCUGAGAUCGAUCCGUCAAGUCAUGGCAGGCAUCAGCCGUGUUGAUGGGUAGGUUGAAUGGAGCGUGGAGCCUCCUCUUGUGCCUUUGCUAAUCCGGCUAGCACAUGGCAAAGGAAUUCUUCUAAUUCUUGAUGAUCUGUAAAGAGUUGGAGGAUCAUCUUCGUGCACCGGUAUGUUCUCGAGCUUAUUCUUGCUUUCAGUAUUCUCCUCUGUUGGAAUGAUGUUGAUAUCAGUGAUGAUCUGAGCAUUUUCCUGUUCUAAACUAUUUGAUUGCUCUUCUUGCUACAUAAGAAAAAGGCUUGUUAGUUUAAAUAUUAAUUGAAUCAAUAUAGAAGAAAUAUGGGUAUGUUCUCGACCUUAUUCUUGCUUUCAGAUUUUUUUUCUGUUUGAAUGAUGUUCAUAUCAUUAAUGCUCUGAGCAUUUUCCUGUUCUAAACUAUUUGAUUGCUCUUCUUGCUACAUAAGAAAAAGGCUUGUUAGUUUAAAUAUUAAUUGAAUCAAUAUAGAAGAAACAUGGGUAUGUUCUCGACCUUAUUCUUGCUUUCAGAAUUUUCCUCUGUUUGAAUGAUGUUCAUAUCACUAAUGCUCUGAGCAUUUUCCUGUUCUAAACUAUUUGAUUCCUCUUCUUGCUACAUAAGAAAAAGGCUUGUUAGUUUAAAUAUCUACUAUUGAUUCAAUAUAGAAGAAAUAUGUGGUUGUUAAAGUACCAGAUCAGUUGUAAUUCUCGGGUCCAUCAUAGUUAUGUUGCCCCUCUUUUUUUUGUAGGAACAUUUCUUCAACUUUUUUCUUGGCUUUUCUUUAAUAUCCUCUGAUGAAUUAAUUUUGAUACCAGUGCUGCUAUGAGCAUUUCUCUGUUCUGAAGUACCUGCUUGUUGUUCCUUCUACAUAAGAGAAAAAAGCUUGUUAGUUUUAGUAUCAAUAUAAUUAAUAUAGAAGAUGAAACCUGUGGUUUUUGCAGUACCAGAUCAGUCGUAAUUUCUGUGUCCAUCACAAUUUUGCUGCCACUCUUUCUUUUGUAGGAACUUCUCUUCAACUUUUGGAUUCGCCUUUUGGGACCUUUGACACCAUCCUUUAACACCUUAGACUUGCUUUGUUUUACUGGUACAUCAUAUUUAUUUUUUUUGGUAUUCCUGAGAAUAGAUUUCUUAUUGGUAUGGUCGUAGUUGAUAUCGCUGUUGUCUUCAACAUCUAUCUCUUUUGAAAUAGGUAGGUUUUGCUGCUAUUAAAGAAAUAGUUAGCACAUAACUCAGUUAGCUAAUCAAAAUUAAAUAAUAUUUUAAAUUCAUUGGAUACCUGAUUACCUGUUUAUUUAAAACUCCCAUAUUGAUAUCGUUGUUGCCUUCAACAUCUGUCUCUUUUGAAAUAGGUAGGCUUUGCUGCUAUUAAAGAAAUAGUUAGGACAUAACUCAUUUAAUAAAAAAUAGAUAAUAUUUAAAAUUCAUUGGAUACCUGUUUAGUUGAAACUUCCAUGUUGACGGUAUUUUUUCUUCUUUUUAUUUUUCCAUGAGCAAUGUUUUCUUCUGACCUCUUCAAACUUUUGUUAGCUCCUUUCAGUAUCUUAGUCUUUUUGGAUAUUUCUGGGACAUAACGUUUCCUCUGCUGGGUAUGAUUGUAAUCAAUAUGGGCGUGUUCUUCUAGUCCUUGUGCUAUGUUUCUUGAUUUGGCAUGAGCUCUUUUAACUUUCUUCCUGCAAACUUUACUCCUUUUUUCUUUUUGCAUUUUUUCUAUGCAAUCUUCGUCUGAGUCAUCAAUUACUACCAUAGCUCUGUGUCUUCUUUUAUUGCUAAGGUUGUCUUUCAUUGAUGUUGAAGAUUUUUCUCUACAUCCAAUGUCCUGUCCACUAUCUUCCAAAACAUCAAAUUCAAUUGAUUCUGAUGUAUUUUUUGCAAAGUGAAGCUUUCAUCUUAUGUUCCUGUCAAAUGACAUUGUAUAUGGUUAGGAAAUUAACAUGAAAGGAGGAGAAAAAAAUUAUUUUCACAUUACAGAAAAUGACUUUACCUCUAGAACUGGAUCACUCGUAUGCUUCAAAUCAUAAUUUCCAUUUAGAUGUUUGCUAUGUUGUGAUUCUUCAACAUCAAAUAAAUCUGAUAUAUUUUUGUUAUGUGUGUCUUCAUUGAUGUGAUCCUGCAAACAAAUUUAUAGGGGCAAAUAGUUUUGUAGAAAAAUAGAAAUUAAUUGUAGUGAUGAAAAUAACCUUACCUUCUCGGCUUGACAAUUUGAAUAUUGCAACUCUAGCUUUUCAUCUGGUUCAAAAGUUUUCUUCACCAGAUAGUAUUCUUUUCCUUCUGUCAAAUUUUGCUCCUUUAGCAUGAAACGGAAGAUAAGUGUUUUCCCACAUAGUUGUUGAAUAACCUUAGGGAUUUCUUCAAAUUUCCCAUUAAGUGAAUCUAGCAGAUCUGUGAUGGUCAUCUUGAGCAUUUUUUGUGCUUCAUCAUCAAAUAUACUGCAGGUAGUGGUUGCUGUGUGGUCACUAAUUUGGAGUCGAAGCCAAUACCUGUUAUAGCAUGUUAGUAAGCGUAAAAUUGUAAAUCACAUGAUUGUUUUUUCACCAGCACCUUUUUUUUGUGUAUAUAUAGGAAAUAUUUCUAAUAACAAUAAGAAUACCUAGGAGUUGUUGCUUCCGGACAUUCAUUGCAUUUUCUACAAUGAUACUUGCCGGCUACUUUAGUGCACAUUUUGUUGCAACCAUUGCAUGACAUGUACCACCAAGAAGAAUUUUCUAGUCGUUCAAUUGUAGCUCUUGAUGUGAACACAAAAUCCUGAAAUGUCAAAAUCAUGUUAAGGUAAGAAAGGCUUAGUGCUCACUAAAAAAGAUUAAAAUCAUAAAUUUUUCAAAUAAAUAAUCAGAUACAUGAAUUAUAUAUUGUACCUGAUCUGAUGGGUUGUCGUGUCUCAUCUGAGUAAUGUCCUGUAAAGUUCUUCUGUUAUAAAACAUUUGUUCUUGAAUGGUACCUUUUGUACUUUUAUCUACCUCCAUUAAUUUUGGUACAGUUUCUUCAUAUGGAACACUACAAAAUAUGUGGUAUUAGGGUACAAUGAAAAGUUAGUUCUGAAUUUAAACUUGGUAGAAUGAAUAAAGAGAAAUUUUUUUUGCAUACCUGUCAAUAAGCUUCCAGGUUUCAGGUAUAUCUAAGUCUAUAUAUAAUCUUGUGCCAUUGGUUGACUUUAGAGAUAGUGUACCUAUUUAAUAAUUCAUAAAAGUAUGUUAAAUUUCAUGAAUGCAACUGUCAUUGUGUAUAUUUGAAAUUAUAAUUUACCUUGCAAACCUUCCACCAUUGUUGAUGUUACUAUAACGAUAGUGUGUUUGCCAACAACAUCCUCAUUCAGAGAAUGAGCUAAAUCUCCCCAUAAAGUUAUCCUGACUGUAUCAUCCCUGAAGUUAUGCCAUAGUAUUCGAUUAUUACAUCAAAUGAUGGUAAUAUUAUUUCAUGUUCCUUCUUAUUAAUUUGAAGCAAAUGAAGAGUCUUACUUUGAUAUAAGAAGUUCAAUCUCCCGAAUAUCCCUUUUACGUGGAUUGGCAGUAUUUUUCAUUAUGAUCCUAGAUUCAAGUUUCUUAAUCUUUGUGAGUAAUCCAAUAACAUCUGCAAUAGUAAAGAAAAAGGAUCAAUAUAUUAAAAAUCCAGAAUCUAUACAUAAUUUUAAGAUAUUUAUGAUACAAAUACCUGAGCAUUGUUUAUAUAUAUUUUUCCGUUCUAGCAGUGUAUCUCUAGAUGCAAACUCAAAGUAAUACUUUCUAAAAUUGUCUGAAUCUGCAUCCAAUUCCUUGACAUUUGUAUUAUAGACAAAAACUAUUUUUAAUAGAUUUUUUAUUGGACGAUAUCUGGCAUCUUCUUGGACUUUGAAAUUGCUAAGAGCAUAGAUAGAUCCCUCAAUGAUCCUUGGCUUAUAAUUGUCAAUAAGAUUUUUCCAAAUAGUAGCACGAAUUGUUUCACCCUGUAAAAGAAAAUAAAUGCUUUUAUAGUAAGUACUUAAACAUAUGAUAAGAUUUAUUGACAAAAGAAAAAAAUAUGUUGCAAAGAACAAUACCUGUUCAUCCAUAAGAAUCAUAUCUAAGCUCAUAAGUUUAUCUGUUACAAAAUUAAUAAUUCACAUAUUCUUAUAACUCUCACUUUAAUGUUCCAUGACUGCCCAACUGUUGUCAGUUGUUUAAUUUUUUUGUAUGUCAUAUUUUUAGUACCUGUAAAAUGUUUUGCAAAAAGAUUAUGUGUAUCUAUACGACAUGAAGAAGAGGUGGCAUGGGAUAAUACCUGAGCUUGAUGGAGAAAGAUAGUUGUAGAAGUAAUCUAUAUUUGAAUACCUAUUUGUAAAGAGAUGAUGCAACUUCAAUUCCUAGAAAGUACUGGUAGCUAGCAGCACGAAUGGUUGGCAGAGGAAGUCUCCAACGCCACGGGCCCUCGGCGUCGUGGUGCUACCCCGGCGUGAAGGGAUGUCGAAGAUGGAUGGACAGAUGAUUUCGUCCGAUGGCAGCUGACACAAUAUUAGGGGGGGUUGUUUGAAAUAUGCUAGUUGGUAAUCUAUUUAUUUACAUGGCUGUUCGAGUUACUAUGGAAUUACAUGGCUGUUCGAGUUACUAUAGAAUAUAAAAUGUUAUUUAUUUAUAUGGCUAGAACUCUUGUCCGAGUUACAUGUGCGUACAUGUACCUGCUAUGGAAUAUCAAAUAUUUUAUAAAUUGUUUUAAGCCAA